rfam:Dipodomys ordii contig_55201, whole genome shotgun sequence.
GGUGGCUCAGUGGUAGAGCGCUUGCCUUGCAAGCAUGAGGCCCUGGGUUCAAUUCCUCAGUACCA